CGGCGGACGGGUGAGUAACGCGUGGGUAACCUGCCUCAUACAGGGGGAUAACAGUUGGAAACGGCUGCUAAUACCGCAUAAGCGCACAGUACCGCAUGGUACGGUGUGAAAAACUCCGGUGGUACGAGAUGGACCCGCGUCUGAUUAGGUAGUUGGUGGGGUAACGGCCUACCAAGCCGACGAUCAGUAGCCGACCUGAGAGGGUGACCGGCCACAUUGGGACUGAGACACGGCCCAA
rnacentral:rRNA from 1 species